AGAGACCGGCGCACGGGUGCGUAACGCGUAUGCAAUCUACCUUUUACAGGGGAAUAGCCCAGAGAAAUUUGGAUUAAUGCCCCAUAGUAUAGCAGUUUCGCAUGAAGCUACUAUUAAAGUUCCAACGGUAAAAGAUGAGCAUGCGUCCCAUUAGCUAGAUGGUAAGGUAACGGCUUACCAUGGCGACGAUGGGUAGGGGUCCUGAGAGGGAGAUCCCCCACACUGGUACUGAGACACGGACCAGACUCCUACGGGAGGCAGCAGUGAGGAAUAUUGGUCAAUGGACGCAAGUCUGAACCAGCCAUGCCGCGUGCAGGAUGACGGUCCUAUGGAUUGUAAACUGCUUUUGUACGAGAAGAAACACUCCUUCGUGAAGGAGCUUGACGGUAUCGUAAGAAUAAGGAUCGGCUAACUCCGUGCCAGCAGCCGCGGUAAUACGGAGGAUCCAAGCGUUAUCCGGAAUCACUGGGCGUAAAGGGAGCGUAGGCGGCGCGGUAAGUCAGAUGUGAAAUCCCGGGGCUCAACCCCGGA
rnacentral:rRNA from 1 species